CCCACUAUGCUCAACCGUAAAACAUCCACCCACACCCCCAUAUAAACCGCCAGGAAAUUACGGGGCCCUACCACCCCUAAAACCCAAAGGACUUGACGGUGUCCAACCCACCUAGAGGAGCCUGUUCUAUAAUCGAUAACACCCGAUACACCUCACCACCCCUAGCACUCUCAGUCUGUAUACCUCCGUCGCAAGCUUACCAUGUGAACGCACCAGUGAGCUCAAAGAUUUUACACCCAUACGUCAGGUCAAGGUGCAACUAAAGAGAUGGCAAGCAAUGGGCUACAAUUUCUACGAUAGAAUAUACGAAAAACUGUAUGAAACACAGUCACGAAGGCGGAUUUAGAAGUAAACAGAAAACAGAGAGUUCUUUUAAACUUGGCACUAGGACGCGUACACACCGCCCGUCACCCUCCUCGGACCCCAAGAGGAGGCAAGUCGUAACAUGGUAAGCGUACUGGAAAGUGUGCUUGGAUAUCAAAAUGUAUCUUAACUAAAGGAUUUCACUUACACUGAAAUAGAUGUCACUAACCAGACCAUUUUGAGCCAACUCCCAGCCCCACCCAUCACCCAUUACCCCUGAGACAAA
rnacentral:rRNA from 1 species